rnacentral:rRNA from 1 species
AGUGAACGCUGGCGGUAGGCCUAACACAUGCAAGUCGAACGGCAGCACAGUAAGAGUUUGCUCUUACGGGUGGCGAGUGGCGGACGGGUGAGGAAUACAUCGGAAUCUACUUUUUCGUGGGGGAUAACGUAGGGAAACUUAUGCUAAUACCGCAUACGACCUACGGGUGAAAGCAGGGGAUCUUCGGACCUUGCGCGAUUGAAUGAGCCGAUGUCGGAUUAGCUAGUUGGCGGGGUAAAGGCCCACCAAGGCGACGAUCCGUAGCUGGUCUGAGAGGAUGAUCGGCCACACUGGAACUGAGACACGGUCCAGACUCCUACGGGAGGCAGCAGUAGGGAAUAUUGGACAAUGGGCGCAAGCCUGACCCAGCCAUACCGCGUGGGUGAAGAAGGCCUUCGGGUUGUAAAGCCCUUUUGUUGGGGAAGAAAAGCUGUAGGUUAAUACCCCGCUGUUCUGACGGUACCCAAAGAAUAAGCACCGGCUAACUUCGUG